rnacentral:rRNA from 1 species
AGUGGCAGACGGGUGAGUAACGCGUGGGAAUCUACCUUUGAGUGGGGAAUAACAAUUAGAAAUGAUUGCUAAUACCGCAUACACCCUCCGGGGGAAAGGCUUCGGCCGCUCUUAGAUGAGCCCGCGUACGAUUAGUUUGUCGGUGAGGUAAAGGCUCACCAAGACUACGAUCGUUAGCUGGUUUGAGAGGAUGAUCAGCCACACUGGGACUGAGACACGGCCCAGACUCCUACGGGAGGCAGCAGUGGGGAAUAUUGGACAAUGGGCGAAAGCCUGAUCCAGCCAUGCCGCGUGAGUGAAGAAGGCCUUAGGGUUGUAAAACUCUUUCAACAGGGAAGAUAAUGACGGUACCUGUAUAAGAAGCUCCGGCUAACUCCGUGCCAGCAGCCGCGGUAAUACGGAGGGGGCAAGCGUUGCUCGGAAUUACUGGGCGUAAAGCGAGCGUAGGCGGUUAGUCAAGUUGGUGGUGAAAGCCCGGAGCUCAACUCCGGAACUGCCAUCAAAACAGACUUACUUGAGAUUGGUAGAGGAAAAUGGAAUUCCUAGUGUAGAGGUGAAAUUCGUAGAUAUUGGGAAGAACAUCGGUGGCGAAGGCGAUUUUCUGGGCCAUAUCUGACGCUGAGGUUCGAAAGCGUGGGUAGCAAACAGGAUUAGAUACCCAGGUAGUCCACGCCGUAAACGAUGAGUGCUAGACGUUGGAAAUUAAUUUUUCAGUGUCGUAGUUAACGCAUUAAGCACUCCGCCUGGGGAGUAC